rnacentral:rRNA from 1 species
CACCGAAGCUGCGGCAGCGACGCUUAUGCGUUGUUGGGUAGGGGAGCGUUCUGUAAGCCUGCGAAGGUGUGCUGUGAGGCAUGCUGGAGGUAUCAGAAGUGCGAAUGCUGACAUAAGUAACGAUAAAGCGGGUGAAAAGCCCGCUCGCCGGAAGACCAAGGGUUCCUGUCCAACGUUAAUCGGGGCAGGGUGAGUCGACCCCUAAGGCGAGGCCGAAAGGCGUAGUCGAUGGGAAACAGGUUAAUAUUCCUGUACUUGGUGUUACUGCGAAGGGGGGACGGAGAAGGCUAUGUUGGCCGGGCGACGGUUGUCCCGGUUUAAGCGUGUAGGCUGGUUUUCCAGGCAAAUCCGGAAAAUCAAGGCUGAGGC